GUUAGAUUAAUUUAAAUGAAUAUUAAGUUGUGGUCUUAAAAGAAAGCUAAAGGCUUAUCUAACA
rnacentral:tRNA from 1 species